GAGAAAUGAGGAAAACUGCAAAAAGUCUGAUGUCUUUGAUGACUGUCGGAUCCAACUCUGAUCUCAUUUAUUUA